GCCUUCCUGACCAUGGCUCUGUCACUGGGAGCCUGACCUUGUACUCUCCCCUGGUGUCCCAGGAAAAAUUCACUCUGGGGCACUGAUAUAGUUUGGCUGUGUCCCCCUCUCCCCCCAGAUCUCAUCUUGAAUUCCCACAUGUUGUAGAAGGGACCCAGUGGGAGGUAAUUGAAUCAUGGGGGCAGGUCUUUCCUGUGCUGUUCUCAUGAUAGUGAAUAAGUCUCAUGAGAUCUGAUGGUUUUAAAAAGUGGAGUUUCCCUGCACAAGCUCUCUUCUCUUGUCUGCCGCCAUGUGAGACAUGCCUUUCACCUUCUGCCAUGAUUUUGAGACCUCUCCAGCCACAUGGAACUGUCAUAAUGGCUGCUGACAUUCAAUCUUUCCAUGAGGAGUCCCUUGCAGUCCCAGCACAUCUUCCUGGUGUUUUCUCAUCUGUUCUUGGUGAGAUGGUGGGGAAGGUGGGUGGAGAACCAGACAAUGUCUUCUCUUCACCUCCCUUCUGAGAUCCAAGCGUCACUUAGUGAUCACUGACAGCCAUGAGUUUUGUGCUUACUGGUUUGCAUUCUCUGAAACCCAAUCAUUCCUAUGAAUCACACAUACUGGUUUUGUACAGAAUAAAAUAAAAAACAUUUCCUC
rnacentral:lncRNA from 1 species